rnacentral:rRNA from 1 species
UACGUAGGGGGCAAGCGUUAUCCGGAAUUACUGGGUGUAAAGGGAGCGUAGACGGUAAUGUAAGUCUGGAGUGAAAGGCGGGGGCCCAACCCCCGGACUGCUCUGGAAACUAUGUUACUAGAGUGCAGGAGAGGUAAGCGGAAUUCCUAGUGUAGCGGUGAAAUGCGUAGAUAUUAGGAGGAACACCAGUGGCGAAGGCGGCUUACUGGACUGUAACUGACGUUGAAGCUCGAAAGCGUGGGGAGCAAACAGG